rnacentral:misc_RNA from 1 species
GAUGAAGAACGUAGUGAAAUGCGAUAAGUAAUGUGAAUUGCAGAUUUCAGUGAAUCAUCGAAUCUUUGAACGCACCUUGCGCCUUGUGGUAUUCCACAAGGCAUGCCCGUUUGAGUAUCAUUAAAUCAUCAACUCUAAAACCUUUGUGGUUUUUUUAGAGCUUGGUCUUGAGGGUUUUGCAGGCUUUUUUUUUCGAGUCUGCUCCCUUUAAAUGCAUUAGCGAGACUUCCCUAUGCUGAACCGUCUCUUUGACGUGAUAAUUAUCUGCGUCGAAUUUUGGUUCUCGUUGGGCUUGCUUCUAAUCGUCUGUUAAGACAAAACGGAUUUGGGUGCAUAUAUGCGCCUUUUUCCAAAACCUUUUUUGAUCUCAAAUCGGGUAGGACUACCCGCUGAACUUAAGCAUAUCAAUAAGCGGAGGA